rnacentral:rRNA from 1 species
ACUCCUACGGGAGGCAGCAGUGGGGAAUAUUGGGCAAUGGGCGAAAGCCUGACCCAGCGACGCCGCGUGGGGGAAGAAGUCUUUCGGGAUGUAAACCCUUGUUGUACGGGACGAAACGAAUGACGGUACCGUACGAGGAAGCCCCGGCAAACUACGUGCCAGCAGCCGCGGUAAU